CGGGUGGCAUUUUGCCAAUAUAGCCCUAUCCCUACGUGAGUAGGGGAAAGGGAAUUGUGGUUGGACAACCGAGUUCUGAGAAAGGCAGUGAUUGAGCAGCUGAACUCCAUCCAUUUGGUGGGUAAGGACCCCAGAGUAUUCAAAGGAUCAAAUGGAAUGUGACUGAAGAGGAGUUAUCUUGCUGAUCUUACCCAGGAAGACUGUCCCCUAGGCAAGGGGACACCAAACCCAAAGAGGCAUGGGAUAAGGAUUUCGUGAUGAGAAAUGGGCAGAACUGGAGUUUAAUCCCCAUGUCAUGACACAGUGAAGGAGUGAGAUGUGAAGGUGCUCUGUCAUUGCCUCAGUCAAGGCUUUCAUGGUACACUGGAAGAAAGAGAAGCGUGAACAAAUUGCAUGAUACUUGAGGUCAUGCUGUGUACCUGUAUUGAACAAGAAUAAGGGAAGGAAGCUGGGAACCUGGAUCUCCCAUAUACUGGAAGUUUUGUAAAAACCUUGAGGGUCCCUUCCACUACAUAUGGGGAUUAUGGGAACUGCAAUUCAAGAUGAGAUUUGAGUGAGGACAUAGCCAAACCACAUGAACUUAAAGUCACGUCUGUGUCAGUUGAGGGGAGAGGUUGCACAUCAGAUGGGCUUUGCUAUGAAGAAAUACCAGAAAAUAUUAAUAACACAGUUUUCUAAUCUUAAGACAGUUUUAGAACAUUGACCGAGAGAGAAGACAACCCACUUUGCCAUAUAUGCCCAUGUAAGAAGAUGACUUUUCUCUUUUAUACUCCAGGC